rnacentral:rRNA from 1 species
AAGUCGAACGUGAAAGUUCCUUCGGGAGCGAGUAAAGUGGCGCACGGGUGAGUAACACGUGGAUAAUCUACCGGGAAGUUGGGGAUAACGACUGGAAACGGUCGCUAAUACCGAAUACGCUGUUCUAUUUGUUUAGGACAGGAAAGGAGGCCUCUGCAUAUGCUUCCGCUUUUCGAUGAGUCCGCGUCCCAUUAGCUGGUUGGCGGGGUAAAGGCCCACCAAGGCGACGAUGGGUAGCUGGUCUGAGAGGAUGAUCAGCCACACUGGGACUGGAACACGGCCCAGACUCC